rnacentral:rRNA from 1 species
CCUACGGGAGGCAGCAGUGAGGAAUAUUGGUCAAUGGACGAGAGUCUGAACCAGCCAAGUAGCGUGAAGGAUGACUGCCCUAUGGGUUGUAAACUUCUUUUAUAUGGGAAUAAAACGUUCCACGUGUGGGAUUUUGUAUGUACUAUAUGAAUAAGGAUCGGCUAACUCCGUGCCAGCAGCCGCGGUAAUACGGAGGAUCCGAGCGUUAUCCGGAUUUAUUGGGUUUAACGGGAGCGUAGGUGGAUUGUUAAGUCAGUUGUGAAAGUUUGCGGCUCAACCGUAAAAUUGCAGUUGAAACUGGCAGUCUUGAGUACAGUAGAGGUCGGCGGAAUUCGUGGUGUAGCGGUGAAAUGCUUAGAUAUCACGAAGAACUCCGAUUGCGAAGGCAGUUCACUGGACUGCAACUGACACUGAGGCUCGAAAGUGUGGGUAUCAAACAGGAUUAGAUACCCCUGUAGUC